ACACACACACAUGCGCACACACACACACACACAUGCACACGUAUGUCUGUGUGUGUGCGUGCAUGCCUCUUUUGAAGAGGCAGUGAUGAGGAACCAAUAUCUUUGUGUGAUAUGGAGUAGAGCUCAUUCUUUCUUGGUAUGAUAUUUGGGCCCUGUAGCAACUCUUUCUUUGCAAUGGUGGUGGGGCAGCUUGGAAGGUCUGAUUCUCUGCAGGCAACCGCUGCAGCCACCAGCUGUUUAGAAGAGUGCAGAGAUGAGGAAGAAAGUCGGAUCUCCUCCCUCUUUGCCAUAGUGACGGAUCAAAGGCAACUCUGAGCCUCACUCCCUCCCUUCUCUUUCUUUAUCUGAGGUGAUAUGCAACUGCUGGAUCAUAUGCUGAUUAUUCCUGCAGCCUUUGCUACCUGUAUCCGUUGUCCAAUUGAUCCACCAAUUGGGCGUGGUCCAGGCAAUAAUUUCUCGAAUUGGUGAAAUACAAGGGGUAACGUGGCGUGUUAUUCACCAUGGGAUUUGGCGCGGUCCAAUUGCACCUGGUGCAUGCAAUACGGAGGCAUGUUGGUAGAACGGUUCUAACCAAUAAUUUCUAACAGAGGGCAGAUGGGAUUGGGAAGUAUUGGCGGAAGGGCCGGUGGCUUUAUUCUCGCAGAAGCUGCCCCCUUCUGCUCCUCUCCCUAGCAGAUGAUCCUUAAUCCUCACCAUUCUCUCUCUCUCUCUCUC